rnacentral:rRNA from 1 species
UACGUAGGGUGCAAGCAUUAAUCGGAAUUAUUGGGCGUAUAGGGCGCGUAGGCGGAUCUUUUAGUCGGAUGUGAAAUCCUGGGGCUCAACCUCAGAACUGCAUCCGAAACUGGAGAUCUAGAGGGUAGAAGGAGAAAACGGAAUUCCACAAGUAGCGGUGAAAUGCGUAGAUAUGUGGAAGAACACCUGUGGCGAAAGCGGUUUUCUAUUUUAUACCUGACGCUGAGGCGCGAAAGCAAGGGGAUCAAAC